GUUGAUUUUGUUACCUUGGAGGCCUUAAUCGGAGACUCCUCCGGUCUUGAGGGUGAUUGGGCAAAUGGGCUCGCCGAAAAACCCCACUGGCGGCGAGGGGAAACCGAAAGGUUUUGUUUUGUUUUUUUCUGUUUUUCUUUUCUGUUUUUCGUUUUUUUUAUUUUGAGGACCUUUGGGACUGAUUUAACCCCAAAUCGGGGCUUUGCUCGGAAAAAGAACAAAAAAGAGGUUUUUUUAAUUUUUCGGCCACUGCGCGCGGCGGCCGGUGGUCAGAAUGGUG
rnacentral:lncRNA from 1 species